GACGAACGCUGGCGGCGUGCUUAACACAUGCAAGUCGAACAGUAAGGCCCUUCGGGGUACACGAGUGGCGAACGGGUGAGUAACACGUGGGUGAUCUGCCCUGCACUUCGGGAUAAGCCUGGGAAACUGGGUCUAAUACCGGAUAGGACUCCGGACUGCAUGGUCUGGGGUGGAAAGCUUUUGCGGUGUGGGAUGGGCCCGCGGCCUAUCAGCUUGUUGGUGGGGUGAUGGCCUACCAAGGCGACGACGGGUAGCCGGCCUGAGAGGGUGACCGGCCACACUGGGACUGAGAUACGGCCCAGACUCCUACGGGAGGGAGCAGUGGGGAAUAUUGCACAAUGGGCGCAAGCCUGAUGCAGCGACGCCGCGUGAGGGAUGACGGCCUUCGGGUUGUAAACCUCUUUCAGCACCGACGAAGCGCAAGUGACGGUAGGUGCAGAAGAAGGACCGGCCAACUACGUGCCAGCCGCCGCAGUAA
rnacentral:rRNA from 1 species